AAGAGAGACCCCAGGGACAUCAGAGGAAUAUACAAAAAGGGGGCUGGUAGAGUCUACCGAGGAGGAGGUACCAACAGUGGUAUUAGAAGCCAUGAUUAAUGAAUCAGCUUAAAAACAGUGUCGGCAAUCAAAAUAUAACAGAACCAGAUACUCACAUACAGAACCAGAUAAUCACAUACAAAGCAUACAAUAGUCAGAAUAAGGACAAAGUUACCCUCCUUCUUCGCGACCGGAGAAGAUCGGCCUUCAAUCAACAAAGAAAACCCUAGGUCCAACACCGGAAACCCUAGGUUCUGAAACUCACCGGAGUAAGGUCAUAGACGCCGGAGAAUCACUCAAAACGUCCAUCAAGUGAAGAAAAAGUCAUCGGAUAACACCAAAACUCUAGGUCCGAAAGUCGGAAAACCCUAGAAUUUGAAGAACUCGUCGGAAGAAAGUCAGAGAUGUCGGAAAAUCACCCAAAACACCUACUGAUACAGGAUCG
rnacentral:lncRNA from 1 species